rnacentral:rRNA from 1 species
UACGAAGGGGGCUAGCGUUGUUCGGAAUUACUGAGCGUAAAGGGCGCGUAGGCGGUGUGUCAAGUCAGGCGUGAAAGCCCCGGGCUCAACCUGGGAACCGCGCUUGAGACUGGCACGCUAGAGUUCGGGAGAGGAUGGUGGAAUUCCCAGUGUAGAGGUGAAAUUCGUAGAUAUGGGGAGGAACACCGGUGGCGAAGGCGGCCACCUGGACGGUAACUGACGGCUGAGACGCGAAAGCGUGGGGAGCAAACGGG